rnacentral:rRNA from 1 species
UGGGGAAUCUUGCACAAUGUGGGAAACCCUGAUGCAGCGACGCCGCGUGAGCGAUGAAGGUUUUCGAAUCGUAAAGCUCUGUCCUAUGGGAAGAUAAUGACGGUACCAUGGGAGGAAGCCCCGGCUAACUACGUGCCAGCAGCCGCGGUAAUACGUAGGGGGCGAGCGUUGUCCGGAAUUACUGGGCGUAAAGGGUUCGCAGGCGGCAUGGCAAGUCCGAUGUAAAAGGCGAAGGCUCAACCUUCGUAAGCAUCGGAAACUGUCAAGCUUGAGUGAAGGAGAGGCAAGUGGAGUUCCUAGUGUAGCGGUGGAAUGCGUAGAUAUUAGGAGGAAUACCGGUGGCGAAGGCGACUUGCUGGACUUCAACUGACGCUGAGGAACGAAAGCGUGGGUAGCAAACAGG